AGUGAACGCUGGCGGUAGGCCUAACACAUGCAAGUCGAACGGCAGCACAGUAAGAGCUUGCUCUUACGGGUGGCGAGUGGCGGACGGGUGAGGAAUACAUCGGAAUCUACUUUUUCGUGGGGGAUAACGUAGGGAAGCUUAAGCUAAUACAGCAUCCGCCCUACGGGUGAAAGCAGGGGAUCUUCGGACCUUGCGCGAUUGAAUGAGCCGCUGUCGGAUUAGCUAGUUGGCGGGGUAAAGGCCCACCAAGGCGACGAUCCGUAGCUGGUCGGAGAGGAUGAUCAGCCACACGAGAACUGAGACACGGUCCAUACGCCUACGGGAGGCAGCAGUGUGGAAUAUGGGACAAUGGGCGCAAGCCUGAUCCAGCCAUACCGCGUGGGUGAAGAAGGCCUUCGGGUUGUAAAGCCCUUUUGUUGGGAAAGAAAAGCAGCAGGUUAAUACCCCGCUGUUCUGACGGUACCGAAAGAAUAAGCACCGGCUAACUUCGUG
rnacentral:rRNA from 1 species